UACGGAGGAGGCAAGCGUUAUCCGGAAUUAUUGGGCGUAAAGCGUCCGCAGGUGGCACCUCAAGUCUGCUGUCAAAGACCGGGGCUUAACCCCAGAAAGGCAGUGGAAACUGAAGCGCUAGAGUGCAGUAGGGGUAGAGGGAAUUCCCGGUGUAGCGGUGAAAUGCGUAGAGAUCGGGAAGAACAUCGGUGGCGAAAGCGCUCUGCUGGACCAUAACUGACACUCAGGGACGAAAGCUAGGGGAGCGAAUGGG
rnacentral:rRNA from 1 species